CAAUAGCGUAUAUUUAAGUUGUUGCAGUUAAAAAGCUCGUAGUUGGAUUUCGGUUAAGAGCGACCGGUCCGCCGUUUGGUGUGCACUGGUUGGUUUUAACUUCCUGUAGAGGACGUGCUCUGGGUUUAACGACCUGGACUCGGAGUCUACGUGGUUACUUUGAAAAAAUUAGAGUGUUCAAAGCGGGCUUACGCUUGAAUAUUUCAGCAUGGAAUAACACUAUAGGACUCCUGUCCUAUUUCGUUGGUCUCGGGACGGGAGUAAUGAUUAAGAGGAACAGUUGGGGGCAUUCGUAUUUCAUUGUCAGAGGUGAAAUUCUUGGAUUUAUGAAAGACGAACUUCUGCGAAANCANNNGCCAAGGAUGUUUUCAUNGA
rnacentral:rRNA from 1 species